rnacentral:rRNA from 1 species
AUUGAACGCUGGCGGCAUGCCUUACACAUGCAAGUCGAACGGCAGCACGGGAGCAAUCCUGGUGGCGAGUGGCGAACGGGUGAGGAAUGCAGCGGAACGUGCCCAGUCGUGGGGGAUAAAUGCUCGAAAGAGCAGCAAAUACCGGAUACGACCUGAGGGAGAGAGCGAGGGACCGUAAAGCCUCGCGCGAUUGGAGCGGCGUAUGUCGGAUUAGGUGGUUGGUGGGGUAAAGGCCUACCAAGCCCGCGAUCUGUAGUUGGUCUGAGAGGACGACCAGCCACACUGGGACUGAGACACGGCCCAGACUCCUACGGGAGGCAGCAGUGGGGAAUUUUGGACAAUGGGCGAAAGCCUGAUCCAGCAAUGCCGCGUGCAGGAAGAAGGCCUUCGGGUUGUAAACUGCUUUUGUCAGGGAAGAAAUCCUCUGGGCUAAUACCUCGGGGGGAUGACGGUACCUGAAGAAUAAGCACCGGCUAACUACGUGCCAGCCGCCGCAGUAACAC